CAGUGUUUGUAGUGUACAGCUGUUCCACACAGCCUCUGGCCAUGCAGACACACACAGAACUUCACACCAGAAGAAGAUAUCAGGCGGCACGGCUGAAUGACGAAAUACUGAACACAAUUCUGAAACCAAAAACCCAGGAAUCAGACGUGCCAUGCCAACACAAGAAGUUAUCUCGGGCCCAGCAGCGUUUGACUGACAGACAUGACGGGGUGGAAAACAUCUUGAGAUCUAAACCUCCCAAACUUCCAGAGACGCAGAAAGCAAACUACAGAAGGGUAUGUGGAACCCAAAAUGAACUCCGAAGAGAGAGCACUAACCCCUCUGUUCCUAAGAAUAGGCUUCCUCGUGAGCUUGUUCUGGGAAAGCCUCCUCCGAAGCCUGCAAGGCCUCCGAGUGUCGACAUCCAUCGCUUCAGGAGGAAUCUGAAAUUCAGGGAUGGACCACAGAUAAAGAUGUGUCCUGUUGCUCCUCCGCUUGUCCCUCCACGUCUCCCUUCAUGCCCAUCAGCCGACCAUGCAGCUGCUUUGAAUCAACAGUUGUACACGGACGACAUCUAUGACGAUGUCGACAUUAUGGACUUUCCGCACCGCCUUACAGGACAUCCCUCAAAGAGGAGAGAGGGGCCAAUAGAAACCAUCGUCUCGGAGGAAAUAAAAGGCCAGAACAUAAUAACCAAGACAAAUAAGAGGAACCAAGAAGCAAAGAAGAAGUUCAAGAUGAAAGGAUCUGUUCAGGUAAUCGAGAAGAGGAAGUCGUUUGGAGGAAACUCAGACUUGUAUCUGAAUCAAGGCCGUGACGAUUUAAAGGAAGAGGAGGAGACCGGGCCUCUUUCCAAGUCUUCUGCAGGUGCACCAGUUGAUGUUUACAGAGUUUAUCCUCUGCCACAACCAAACACAAAUGGAGGUAAAUAUGUCGGCAUUUUCCUAAUAUUGGAGGUUGUGACUAUAUUACAUACUAAACAUGAGUUGUCUUUGUGCCCACAGAUGAUGUUUAUGAUGAUAUUGAUGGUGAGGAUGUUGAUUAUGUAUUAUAAUAUAUUUAACAUUAUAUUUGGGAACUCCACAUAUAUACGUCUUUCAGCACUGCAUAUCAGAUGUUCAUUGGGAUUCAAUGUAAAAAAACAACAAUGUAUAAAUGUUUAUUUUUUCUACAGGAUGU
rnacentral:lncRNA from 1 species